rnacentral:lncRNA from 1 species
GGAAGUGGGCAUUGGUAAAACAAUUUUUGUUGAAAAAUUGACCACCACUGGGCGGACCCCUUACACCCUUCCUAGGGGAGCGUUUUUGAUUUGUGGCGACCGAGCGUGGGCAGGCAUCCCCUCUGGUCUGGUCGGAGGGCCGUGCACUUUUGGCAGGCUGACGCUGUUUACCCCCAACAUCACCCAAAUUAUUAAUUGGAAAAGGACUAACAUCACAUCCGGAUUGGCUAGACCUAAAAGAGAUCUUAAGGAUCUCACUGAGGACUGUGAUGAUGAAAUUACACAUUGGUCUCAUUCAAAAUCCGUCGCUUUUAUCAUCCUAUUGCCGUGGGUAUCAGUGGCGAAAUCUCUGGGAGAAUUGGGCCGCCUGGAGUGUUGGGUGGCUAAACAAGCCAAUUUUACUUCAGCUGCUUUAUACGACCUCCUCACAGACGAGGAAAUAACAAGGAAGGCGACGCUCCAGAACAGGGCAGCAAUAGAUUUUCUAUUGCUGCUUCACCACCAUCAUUGUGAGGAGUUUGAGGGCCUCUGCUGCAUCAACCUGUCCUCAAGGGCCGAGGAUGCCAGGCACUCAAUAAAACGCCUACAAGACCUCAUACACCAGGUCAAGCAAGAAACAUCUGAUUGGCUGGGGGACAUUUUUAAGGGUUGGGGCCUUAGCGGGUGGGCCACUUCUGUUUUAGAAUCAAUAUGUAAAGUUGUUUUAUGUCUGGUUAUAAUAUUAGUUUUGAUUGCUUUGAUCCGCGGACUAGUUAAGAGACUGAUAACUAAAAUGGCCGCACCGAAAGUGAACCACGCCAUCGUUCCUUUCGAAGAGCCCGUCGAGCUGGAGGACCUCUCCUCGGAGGCCGGAGAUGCUGCGGAUGAGGAGGGGGCUACCACGCCACCCCUCGACCAUCUAUGGGCGGGCGGACUCCAGCUUGAAGAGAGUGAAGCCUGGCCGGACCAGCCAUGGGUCCCUGCAUUUUAAGUUUGAGUUAGACUCUUCCGUUCAUUUUAUUUUAUUUGGUAAAAAACGUGGAGAUGUUGUAGUGUGAGUUAAGUUGCUUGUAUGUUUUCCCCAAUUUAUGUAUUAGUCCUCCCCCACACUGUGUUAAAUGGUUCUGCCCUCCUCAGUUUUCNNNNNNNNNNNNNNNNNNNNN